rnacentral:rRNA from 1 species
GUGGGGAAUUUUGGACAAUGGGCGCAAGCCUGAUCCAGCAAUGCCGCGUGCAGGAAGAAGGCCUUCGGGUUGUAAACUGCUUUUGUACGGAACGAAACGGUCCUGGCUAAUACCCGGGGCUAAUGACGGUACCGUAAGAAUAAGCACCGGCUAACUACGUGCCAGCAGCCGCGGUAAUACGUAGGGUGCGAGCGUUAAUCGGAAUUACUGGGCGUAAAGCGUGCGCAGGCGGUGCUGUAAGACAGGCGUGAAAUCCCCGGGCUCAACCUGGGAAUUGCGGUUGUGACUGCAGUGCUGGAGUGCGGAAGAGGGGGAUGGAAUUCCGCGUGUAGCAGUGAAAUGCGUAGAUAUGCGGAGGAACACCGAUGGCGAAGGCAAUCCCCUGGGCCUGCACUGACGCUCAUGCACGAAAGCGUGGGGAGCAAACAGGAUUAGAUACCCCAGUAGUCC